GUUUUUGUGCUCACAGCAUCAUUGAUCAUUGUUGUAACAGUAAAAUAUCCGUAGUGUGAUCUUUGCCUGUAAAGGUGGUUGAUUAAAAUGAGCAAAGCUUUUGUCUGGGAAAGAAUUGAAAAGAACACCAAGUUCCAGAGUAAGAUAUUCUUGGAUGGAUCCGGAUACGAAUUGUAAUCCAAAGUUAAAAAUAGUAAUUGUAUUUGUAAUCCAAAGUCUUUAAAGGCCUGUAGAAGUUUACAUUCCUUAGAUACAUUGCUG